CUGUGUUCUGAGUUAGCAAGUUCUCCACCAGCCCCUAUUGGCCCUUCUGGGUCGGUGGGUUGAAGGAUGGGAGGAGACACUGGAUCCAGUUCACGUUCAAAGGUGAACUUGCCAAAUUUGAACAUUCUGGAAUGGUCCUUUUUUAAAAAAAAUAAAAAUUGAAAUAAAACAAAUCAGUACAGUAAAAAUAAAUAAAUAAGAGAAGCACAAGAAAGCAGCACAGGACAUCUGGGAGAGACCGGAUAUUAGCUUGGCAAAGUAUUCAAGACUCUUGCGAAAGCCAGUUUUCACGUUGCCCCAAGGAGAGGUUGUUUGUUGCAUACGAGAUAAAAUCUCAGGGUCCUCCAGGCCUUAGGCCACAGGUAAUUUAUGAGUUGCUGUAUUCCCCCCCCCCAGCUAAUGCUAAACUCCACAUAUUUUCAUAACCAGAGCAAAAGUCGCAAGUCCUGCAAGGUUCUGCAUUUGGAGGCAACUAAAGUUUUGUUUUGGCAGGUGCCAAAAGGGCCCUUGAACUGAAAUGCAGCCUCCCUUUGAAUUCUGCACCUCUCUGAAUUUUGCAAUGCACUUCUGCAGCCACAUAAUGUAUAGCAAGAUGCAUUUACUGGGAUAAAGCGUGCACAUAAAUGCCUGUAUUAGUGAAAAGAGCAGACACCAUUGCAUUAUAUUAGGGGGAAACAGCUUACAAAAUUGUGUACAUUUGUCAAAUGCAAAGAUGGGUUUAUCAGGAGAAAAUUGCACUAAAAUGCUUGCAAAUUUUAAGUGUGUGUGUGUGUGUGUUUUAAUGCAAAUUGCUGCAGAAAUGUGGAGAAAUAAAUUUAAGACUUGGGAAAUGAACCAAUAUUGAGAGAUGCAUCCAUCCCACAAUAGCUGACCCUUUUUUUUGUAGUUAUGGAGAUUUCUCUUGCUCUUUCGUCCCCCCCACUUUGUAGCUUAUUAGAAGUCAGGAUGCCAAAUUGCUCUCUAUGAUGAUGCUGGCGACGGCACGGAUCCUGUCAGCAGCAGGUUGGGCUGUGCCAGCCAACAGGGGCCAGCCUGAUUCCCUUUUCCUACUCCCCAACAGAGCUGAACUGAGCAUGUGCAGAGUGCACUCCCCUUGUCCCACUGCGUACGCCUGGUUCAUCCAGGGGAACUGGAACGUUCUAGGGGAAAGGGCUUUUCCAGGUGGAGCGUGAGAGUUUAGAGGGGUUGGGGCUGCAGUCUUUAAGCCUGACACUUCCUCUUUAAAAAAAGAAUCAGGAAUUAACCCCUACCAGCUUCUCAGUUCCAUGGACGCAGGGGAGGGGGGCAUUGAUGGGAAGGUGGGAGGGAGCUCCUCCCGCCUCCUUGGUUCUUGGGGUGGGGCUGGGAAAUGUCCUCUCCAGUGGGUCAGGGUGGAGGAGGCCAGCCCUGAGCUUUGCCAAGGCCCCUCGGGAGUCUUCCUGUGGCCUGUACUUUGCAUCCCCGGAGCAAUCCUCAAAUAUUUGCAGCCGUGGUAAUCAUUAACCCGCCUGGGCAUUAUGAACGCCCUGGGAGAGGGGUGGCUGAGCAGUUCUCACCCUGGGCAUCCUCGGGGACAGAUCUGGCGGGGGCGCACUGUGGGGCUUGAGGACCACUGAACACAACACAGGCCUGCCUGAUCAGGCCAAUGGCCCACCUGGCACAUCCUCCUGUUCUCGCAGUCGCCAGCCAGGUGCUUAUUUUGGGGAAACCUGCAAGCAGGACUCGAACGCAAGAGCCGCCUCCCCUCCCGAGGUUUCCAGCAACUGGGAUUCAGAAGCAUUGCUGCCUCCCACCGUAAAGACAAAGCAUAGCUGGGAGCUAUCGAUAGCCAUCUUCAUUGCUAGCAAAGGACUGCUGUCCAGAAGGGUUGGAUUUUAGGGCAUUCCCACCACAAGUGGAGGUAUGCAGAGGUGCAGCCUCUCCAACAACUUGUGAGGUUCCUGGGCAUAUCAGCGCCAGUUUCCAUGGUGUUGAGAUCCACCUGUAGGUACACCCUGGCUCCGUGGUCACUCCUGGUCAAAGGCCAAAGACUUCCCCUCCAGCAUGGAAAAGGCAACCAAUGGAAGCAGCCUGCAGCGCCUCUCACUGGCCGAAAGGAGGUGGGGAGCUCCUGCCCAGAUAAGGGAGGGGGGUGCCUAUCGGCUGUAACAGCAACUCCACGUGGAAGCCUCAAGCCAUUCCAGUGGGGCGGCUGUUAUUUUGGAUGGGCACCCAAAAACGCACCUGGAUGCCACCGAGAGACCAGGAGGACAAAGGGGAGAGAUCUUUUGACCCAGGCGCUCUGUGGAUCAUGUGCUCAGGGAUGGACAGAGUGAGUAAUGGGACAUUUCGUAGAACUGUGGGCUGGAAAGGACUCUGGUGGUCAUCUAGUCAUAAGAAGGAGAUUCCAGCUGAAUGUUAGGAAAAACUUCCUGACGGGAAAGUCUGUUGGGCAGUGGAGUGAACUCCCUCUAAAGGUGGUGGACUCUCCUUAAGUGGAGAAUUUUAGACAGAGAUAGGAUAGCCCCAAUCUGACAGCGAUUCCUUAUCGGGGAUUUCUGCAUUGCAGGGAGUUAGACUAGAUCAGGCAUAGGCAACCUUGGCUCUCCAGAUGUUUUGGAACUACAACUCCCAUGAUCCCUGACCACUGGCCCUGUUAGCUAGGGAUCGUGGGAGUUGUAGUUCCAAAACAUCUGGAGAGCCAAGGUUGCCUAUGCCUGGACUAGAUGAACCUUGGGGUUACCUUCCAACCGCAGCAUUCUAUGAUUCUUUGAUAUAGCUUUAUUUUCUACCUUGUGGGUCAGGGCAGAAUCCUGACCCUACCCUGCUAUGCAGCAGCCCAGCGGCCAUAUUGAUAGGCAAUGCUUUUUAAAUUUGACCACUUUAGAAAACCCAUUUCCAUACAGGAGGGGGUGGUGAUGGUGAAUGCAUUUAUUUCCUUGGCCCCUUUGUUAUACUUCCAAAGCCAUGUGGGGCUGGUGAUGUCCGGGAAAGGCUUUGACACAAAAUAAUCCUGUAGAGGUUGUUCCUGAUUUGUUCCCACAAAAUGUGCAUGGAAAGAUGCUCAUUGAGCAUGCACAAAACUUUUGUGAGUUUAUAUGAGUACUGUAUUGGGAUGCGGGUGGUGCUGUGGGUUAAACCACAGAGCCCAGGGCUUGCCGAUUGGAAGGUUGGUGGUUCGAAUCCUCGUGACGGGGUGAGCUCCCGUUGCUCUGUCCCAGCUCCUGACAAUUUAGCAGUCUGAAAGCAUGUCAAAGUGCAAGUAGAUAAAUAGGUACCGCUCCAGCAGGAAGGUAAACGGCGUUUCCGUGCGCUGCUCUGGUUUCGCCAGAAGCGGCUUAGUCAUGCUGGCCACAUGACCCGGAAGCUGUACGCUGGCUCCCUCGGCCAAUAAAGCGAGAUGAGUGCCGCAACCCCAGAGUCCUCCACAACUGGACCUAACGGUCAGGGGUCCCUUUACCUUUAUGAGUACCAUAUUAUCACACGCUUCCCCCCCAUGCUGUUUCCCAUCACAACCACUAGAUGGCAAUGCCGUAUAACAGCCAUGUGCAAUUUUGGGGCAAAACAAAUUUCGAUCAAUGCUCAAUAACAGCUCAUCUGGAGGUGCCCUCAGAAAGGCAGGAUGCUGUCAGACCAGGCCAGGCUGUUGGUCCAUCUGGCCCAGUAUUGCCUACUCUGCAGGCAGUAGUUCUCCAGUGCCUCGGGCCCCUGCAUCACCUGCUACCUCCACCUGGGCUCCUCCAUCACCUGUUCCCUCCAUCACCUGCUACCAUCACCGGAGCAGCUGAACCAGGGACCUUCUGCAUGCCAAGCAGCUGUUCUGCCCACUGAGCUGUGGGUGCUGCCAGAGAACACGGGAGGCUGCUGUUCAUAGAAUUGUGGAGCUGGGAGGGACCCCAUGGGACCCCCUGCAAUGAUCCAUUGAUCUCAGCCUUGUCUAAAACGACAGGAGCCAGCUCUCAAGGAUUUCAUGCUUAUGGCCCAUCUGCCUAUGAAAAGAGCAUGGACAGGAGAUGGCUCCGGCCUUCACAGGUGCACCCAAGGUGGGCUCUGUGCCCCAUUUCCCCUGAUGGGUCAACCAGGAGGAAGUGGUGCUUGGACGAUGCAUCUAGGCAGAACCAGACUGAGGGCACACUGCUAUGACCUAUGAAUUGACAGCCAGUCCCCCUCCUGUCUCCUGGCUGUCAGUUUUGUAGGGCACAAGUAUGUCUCUCUCCGCGCCCUCCCUGCCAAACAGCCCUUGGCCUGAGAAGGA